UAGGUGACCUGCGGAAGGAUCAUUACAACAAGGUUCCCUGGCCCUCGAAGCUUCGGCGGAGGGGGCUACAGCCUGACUUUAUACCCACCCUUUGCCUAUGUGUACCCCUAUUGCUUCCCUCGGCGGGUUCGCCCGCCGACAGGAACCAACUAAACCCUUUGCAUUAUACAUUUAACACUUCCGAUACAAAACUAAAUUAUUACAACUUUUAACAAUGGAUCUCUUGGUUCUGGCAUCGAUGAAGAACGCAGCGAAAUGCGAUAAGUAGUGUGAAUUGCAGAAUUCAGUGAAUCAUCGAAUCUUUGAACGCACAUUGCGCCCCUCGGUAUUCCGUGGGGCAUGCCUGUUCGAGCGUCAUUUACACCCUCAAGCUAUGCUUGGUGUUGGGCGUCUGUCCCGCCUUCGUGCGCGGACUCGCCUCAAAGUCAUUGGCAGCGGUCUCGUCGGCUUCUCGCGCAGCACAUUUGCGCUUCUCGGAGCCCCGGCGGAUCAGCGUCCAGCAAGCGAUUUCAUGACUUGACCUCGGAUCAGGUAGGGAUACCCGCUGAACUUAAGCAUAUCAAUAAGCGGAGGAAAAGAAACCAACAGGGAUUGCCCUAGUAACGGCGAGUGAAGCGGCAACAGCUCAAAUUUGAAAUCUGGCUCUUUCAGGGUCCGAGUUGUAAUUUGCAGAGGGUGCUUUGGUGUUGGCGGCGGUCUAAGUUCCUUGGAACAGGACAUCGCAGAGGGUGAGAAUCCCGUAUGUGGUCGCCUGCCUUCGC
rnacentral:rRNA from 1 species